rnacentral:rRNA from 1 species
GCAGUAGCCGCGGUAAUACGUAGGUGGCAAGCGUUGUCCGGAAUUAUUGGGCGUAAAGGGCUCGCAGGCGGUUUCUUAAGUCUGAUGUGAAAGCCCCCGGCUCAACCGGGGAGGGUCAUUGGAAACUGGGAAACUUGAGUGCAGAAGAGGAGAGUGGAAUUCCACGUGUAGCGGUGAAAUGCGUAGAGAUGUGGAGGAACACCAGCGGCGAAGGCGACUCUCUGGUCUGUAACUGACGCUGAGGAGCGAAAGCGUGGGGAGCGAACAGGAUUAGAUACCCCUGUAGUCCCUGUCUCUUAUAC